GACGAACGCUGGCGGCGUGCUUAACACAUGCAAGUCGAACGGUGAAGCGCCUUCCUUUUUGGUGGGUGUGGAUGAGUGGCGAACGGGUGAGUAACACGUGAGUAACCUGCCCCCUUCUUCUGGAUAACCGCAUGAAAGUGUGGCUAAUACGGGAUAUUCUGGGUCUGUCGCAUGAUGGGUCUGGGAAAGAUAUUGUUUCGGUGGGGGAUGGGCUCGCGGCCUAUCAGCUUGUUGGUGGGGUGAUGUCCUACCAAGGCGGUGACGGGUAGCCGGCCUGAGAGGGUGGACGGUCACGCUGGGACUGAGACACGGUCGAGACUCCAACGGGAGGCAGCAGUGGGGAAUAGUGCACAAUGGGCGCAAGGCUGAUGCAGCGACGCCGCGUGGGGGAUGGAGGCCUUCGGGUUGUGAACCUCUUUCGCCAGUGAAGCAGGCCUGCCUCGUUUGUGGGUGGGUUGACGGUAGCUGGAUAAGAAGCGCCGGCUAACUACGUG
rnacentral:rRNA from 1 species